CCAUGAAUGCUGCCUAGUCUGAUGAGCUCCUCCAGCAUUUUGCGUGUUUUAACAACACUGAAGACGUGACUACCUACAGAAGCGUCCAAAUCACCUAGACACAGAAGGCUAAUGGGCCAAGUGCUAGAAGAUAGAUUACUGCAGCAUCCACUCCAUUCUCAUGGCACCGUCUCAUAGAACUGAAGGAGAUGCUACAUCUGCUGCAUCAACUCUUUCCUUCCCAGCUGUCAGUCAGCUACACUCUUCAUUCAGAGUAAUUUGGAUUCGAUUUGAAGCGCAUGGAGGAAAGGCAUCAAUCUCCAUCUUCUCUUUAUCUGCCCUUGAAAUGGCAAUAUCUGUAGUCCCCGAGUUACGAACGUCCGACUUACAGACAACUCGUACUUACUAACCGAGGAGGGAGAACGUUGUCCACCAUUUUAAGUCGUUGCCAUUGACACUGUGUUGAGUGUUUAACUUUGUAUUUGGCUUAAAUUUUUCUUAGUAAGAUUCACCCUGACCCCGCACCCCCCACUCCCCCCCCCGUUCCGGUCGGCUGGUGGCGCCGUGAGAUCAGUGCUGGGCUGGGGAAUGGAGGUUCCUGAAUUCAAUUUAGUGACAGACCGCUCCCAUGCCGGGUUGAUGUCGAUCUAGUGACUCCUGUACCAUCCGUGCCAGGUUGAUGUAGAGCUCGCAACUCGACCUCGUAAAAAAAAACACUGACACCUCCAGUUUAAGUUCCCACACGGAAUAUUGUGGAGGAUCAAAUACCCAUACCCAGCAAAGUCCCUACUUGUCCCAUUUAGUCUGCCUCAGUGCGGUGGUCCUUAGGACCCAGAAGACCUCGGAAGCCAGCGCAGCUCAGGCCCCGCCACCCCAAUGUUUCUGUUCCAUUGUCGGUGUACGGUGGUCCUUAGGACCGAGUGGACCUCGGGAGCCAGCGCAGCUCGGGUCCCGCCGCCUGCAGUGUUUCUGUUCCAUUGACGGGAAGCGAUCGCGAUUGAAAAUAAGGUGGAAAUAAUAGUGUUUGGAAAGAAGUGAAACGCCAUCGGUCAUUGUUAAAGUGUUACAGUUGGUCAACGAUUGGAACAAUUUUAAAGGAUAACGGAUAAAGUGAGAAUAAUGGAGCAUGUGAAAGGCCCUGCCCCGAUUAAAGCUAUAAUUAUUACUAAGCCAUGCAGUGGUUUAAUUAUUGCAAUACAUAUAUUUCUUAAGUGUUUUAAUAUGCGUAAAAAGAUAAAAUAUAUACUAUAUACUAAGACAAACAUUUUACUAACUGACGCUAAAUAAUACUGGAUAUACUUGUUCCUACGUACGUACAAAUCCGACUUAAAGACGGACUCAGGAACGGAACUCGUACGUAACCCAGGGACUGCCUGUAUUUGCUAUUGAGUGAUAGGUGCAUCACAAAUAACCUUGUACACUGCUGCCUGACUUGAGAUGAUUUUAUAGUACACAGGAAUGUGGAGGAUUGAGGGGAGAUUUGAUAGAGUUAUACAAAAUUAUGAGGGGUAUAGAUAGCAUAAAUGCAAGCAGGCUUUUUCCACUGAGGUUGGGUGGGACUACAACCAUGGUUUUAGGGUGAAAAGUGGGUUUUAGGGGAACAUGAGGGGAAACUUCUUUCAAGGGGAUGAGAGAGACUGGAAUGAGUGGCCAGCACAAGUGGUGCAAGCUCGAUUUCAGCGUUAAGGAGAAGUUUGAAUAGGUACAUGCACAGUAGGGUUAUUUAUGGAGGGCUAUGUUCCAGGCGCAUGUUGAUGGGAAUAGGCAGCUUAAAUGGUUUUGAUAAGGACUAGAUGGGCAGAAUGGCCUGUUUCUGUGCUGUACUUUUCUAUGACUCUAUAAAUUUAUAGAAGCUUUCAAUGUCCAUUCCUAUUUCCUCUAGUGUUUCACAGAAAUUGUCUUUUUCACUCAACCACUGGAUAACAGAUUUGUCACUGUUUAACAAUGAAGAGGGGAAAUAUUAGAACUCGGGGCGAUAUAUUAGCUAUUUCAUAGUUUUUAAAACCGUCAGUCCAUUACUUCUGUAUUUCAGAGAUAAUUAUAAUUUGUUCAUUUAUCCUACAUUACAACAUUUUAGCUCAGAGAGCAUA